rnacentral:misc_RNA from 1 species
UUUUAGCCCCGAUUGAACGGCCUGUUUGAGCUCUUUUUAUUUUUUUUAUUUAAAAAAAAGAAAAAAGCGAGUAGUGAAAGCGGGAAAUAGC